rnacentral:misc_RNA from 1 species
GCUCCCUCUUCUGCUACCGGUGGUUACAGUUUCCGAGCCACUCAAUUCUCCACUCACUCUGUUGCUCUUUCUCUCCUAAUCUCCAUCAUCACAAAUCGAUCCAUCCCACCCACACAUCAGAGGAUAAAACAUGGGAUUCAGAACGACGAGGAGGAGGAGAAUCCAUUGAGCAAUGCAAUAUUCGAUAAUGGAAAGGUGGUCAUAAUCAGAGAUUGAAGAAGGAAACACGAGGAGCGAUAGUCGCGCCGUGGACACGUGGGGAUCCAGCUAAGCUUGAGGGACAUGGUGCAGUGCAUCGCAGCCUAGUUGGACUUGGAAUUGGAAAACAACAACACCACCACCCGCACGUGCGGACCCCUCUCGUACGCCAACGCAUUUUUUAUUUUAUUUCUUUGGUUCGACGAGUCAUCCUUCCUUGUUACUCGAGAGCCACGUGCUCCAUCCUUGUUUGAUACGUUUCGAUAUGUUAUAAGACUAUAUCUAAUAUGAAUUUUAUAAA